rfam:Bosea sp. PAMC 26642, complete genome.
GCGGGCGUAGCUCAGUUGGUUAGAGUGCCGGCCUGUCACGCCGGAGGUCGCGGGUUCGAGCCCCGUCGCCCGCG